GGUUCCGUAGCUCAAUUGGAUAUAGUAUGGGUUUUCUAAAUCCACGGUUACAGGUUCAAGCCCUGUCGGAAUCA
rnacentral:tRNA from 1 species